rnacentral:rRNA from 1 species
GAUGAACGCUGGCGGCGUGCUUAACACAUGCAAGUCGAACGGUGAAGCAGAGCUUGCUCUGUGGAUCAGUGGCGAACGGGUGAGUAACACGUGAGCAACCUGCCCUGGACUCUGGGAUAAGCGCUGGAAACGGCGUCUAAUACUGGAUACGAGACGUGGCCGCAUGGUCAACGUUUGGAAAGAUUUUUUGGUUCAGGAUGGGCUCGCGGCCUAUCAGCCUGUUGGUGAGGUAAUGGCUCACCAAGGCGUCGACGGGUAGCCGGCCUGAGAGGGUGACCGGCCACACUAGGACUGAGACACGGCCCAGACUCCUACGGGAGGCAGCAGUGGGGAAUAUUGCACAAUGGGCGAAAGCCUGAUGCAGCAACGCCGCGUGAGGGAUGACGGCCUUCGGGUUGUAAACCUCUUUUAGCAAGGAAGAAGCGAAAGUGACGGUACCUGCAGAAAAAGCACCGGCUAACUACGUGCCAGCAGCCGCCGUAAGAC